rnacentral:rRNA from 1 species
CACGUAGGGGGCGAGCGUUGUCCGGAAUCAUUGGGCGUAAAGAGCGUGUAGGCGGUUCGGUAAGUCUGUCGUGAAAUCCUGGGGCUCAACCCUGGGCGUGCGAUGGAUACUGCCGGGCUAGAGGGUGGUAGAGGCGAGUGGAAUUCCCGGUGUAGCGGUGAAAUGCGCAGAUAUUAGGAGGAACACCGGUGGCGAAGGCGCUGCUCUGGGCCGAUACUGACGCUGAGGAGCGAAAGCGUGGGUAGCAAACAGG